rnacentral:rRNA from 1 species
UGGUGGAGCGAUUUGUCUGGUUAAUUCCGUUAACGAACGAGACCUCGGCCUGCUAAAUAGCUACGCCGACCCCGCUAUCCAAAACCUGGCGGCGGAGAGCCGGUCCCGUCCCGAGCGAGGGGGCAACCUCUCGUCCGGUGCUCGGGGCCCUCCUCGUCAGGCGGUCGGGUCGGCGGCCACGCUUCUUAGAGGGACUGCCGGCAUCCAGCCGACGGAGGCUCGAGGCAAUAACA